rnacentral:rRNA from 1 species
AUUGAACGCUGGCGGCAGGCCUAACACAUGCAAGUCGAGCGAGCGGCGGACGGGUGAGUCAUGUCUGGGAAACUGCCUGAUGGAGGGGGAUAACUACUGGAAACGGUAGUUAAUCAUGCAUACCAUUGGAUGUGCCCAGAUGGGAUUAGCUAGUAGGUGGGGUAACGGCUCACCCAGGCGACGAUCCCUAGCUGGUCUGAGAGGAUGACCAGCCACACUGGAACUGAGACACGGUCCAGACUCCUACGGGAGGCAGCAGUGGGGAAUAUUGCACAAUGGGCGCAAGCCUGAUCCAGCCAUGCCGCGUGUGUGAAGAAGGUCUUCGGAUUGUAAAGCACUUUCAGCGGGGAGGCGUUACCCGCAGAAGAAGCACCGGCUAACUCCGUGCCAGCAGCCGCGGUAAUUC